AAUCACAGCACCAAAAAUCUUUUAAACCCUUACUUUUUUUCACUAAACCCUCGCUCCGUCGCUCCGUAGCCCUAAAACCUCUGCUCGAUCUCUCUCACACGUGUGCAGCAAAGUUCUUCAUUUUUUGUUUUUCUUUUGGGUUUGUUCUUUAAACACUGUGUUUGAGUCUUAAGAGAAAGGAAUUGAAGAAAAAAAACAGGGGAUAGGUAAGUGUAGAGAUGGCCUCAGGGUUUGCUUCGAAAUGGUCUUGCGAGGACUCCCAUUCAGAUGCUGAUUUUUCUCAAAGUUGUGGACAACUCGGGGGGCAAAAAAAGUGAUGUGCAUACAAGCUCUGAAGGGGAUGAAAGGUGCAAGAUUGGGAGACGCAAUAGUUGUUUCAGGCAAGGAAGCCCAUCCAAAUGGAGAAGUCAAGAAAUGAAAGGUUGUAUGUGA